rnacentral:rRNA from 1 species
GACGAACGCUGGCGGCGUGCCUAAUACAUGCAAGUAGAACGCAGUUGCGAACGGGUGAGUAACGCGUAGGAACCUGCCUGGUAGCGGGGGAUAACUACGCGAAAGCGUAGCUAAUACCGCAUACUAUUGGAGCGGCCGAUAUCGGAUUAGCUAGUGGGUGGGGUAACGGCUCACCAAGGCGACGAUCCGUAGCUGGUUUGAGAGGACGACCAGCCACACUGGGACUGAGACACGGCCCAGACUCCUACGGGAGGCAGCAGUGGGGAAUUUUGGACAAUGGGGGAAACCCUGAUCCAGCCAUCCCGCGUGUGCGAUGAAGGCCUUCGGGUUGUAAAGCACUUUUGGCAGGAAAGCGGUACCGGAAUAGAAAGCCACGGCUAACUACGUGCCAGCAGCCGCGGUAAUAC